AUGGAGCCGGCCAGGCACCCCAGAAACAAGCUGGUUUUGGUUGGGCUUGAACUCACGACCCUGAGAUCAAGAGUCUCAUGUUCUGCUGAGCGGAGCCAGCCCAGCGCUCCAUCCCUGAAUUCAUCUCGGGAUGUCCAUUAAGAAAUCCGUCUGCGACGUCAACAGCAUGAAAACCCUGCGCAGAUCAAAACCCUUCUCUAGCUUAAAGGUUACACAAUUCACUUCGCACCUCGCGUUUGAACUCAACCUGGACUGCUCUGCUCGUCUUGGCGUGCGGCUGUGAGGGACGGAGACGGAAGAGUUCUGGCUGGCCUGACCCGUGCGGAGAAGGGAGUUGCAGUUUUCUGACAUUAAAUAUUAACACUGGGGAUUAAUAAUGAAGGCUGACAGUUCCUUUCUCGGUAUUUCUGAGCGUGUCUCUCCCCAGCCUGCCAGGCCAGCAGGCCCAGGCCCUUGCCCUGCCCGAGCCAUGUGGCCGGAGGCCCCUGCUCUCUGAGGUCAGGAGAGCUUCCCUGAUGCCCCAGGUCCCAGCUGUGCUAGCCGUCAGGCCUGCUGAACUCUGAUGGCCCGUGAGCCAAGGAACAUCACGGCAGCCUUGAACUUACGCGCAGGGAGCUGGACCGGCUGAAGUCUGUGCUGGACAAUUAGACACGCAGCGAUCUUUUACGUAAUAAAAGGUACAAGGAAUCCGAUGUGAAAUAGGCCCCCGUUUGAUUUCCCACGCUCCAUUGAUGGAUGAUUGCAUACGUGCUUUGCUUUAAUAAAACAUU